CUACGGGAGGCUGCAGUCGAGAAUCUUUUGCAAUGCGCGAAAGCGUGACAAUGCGACGCCGCGUGAGCGAUGAAGCCCUUCGGGGUGUAAAGCUCUGUCAGCCCGGAUGAAUAUUCGUUUUUGAAUAGGGAACGAAGACGACAGUACGGGCAGAGGAAGCCACGGCUAAUGCCGUGCCAGCAGCCGCGGUAAUACGGAGGUGGCAAGCGUUGUUCGGAUUUAUUGGGUGUAAAGGGUAUGUAGGUUUCCUGAUUAGUCGAAUGUGAAAUCCCUUGGCUUAACCAAGGAACUGCAUUCGAAACUGUCAGGAUUGAGUAUGGAAGAGGAGAGCGGAAUUCCCGGUGUAAGGGUGGAAUCUGUAGGGAUCGGGAGGAACACCAGUGGCGAAAGCGGCUCUCUGGUCCAAUACUGACACUGAAAUACGAAAGCAAGGGGAGCAAACAGGAUUAGAUACCCCCGUAGUC
rnacentral:rRNA from 1 species